AGUGAACGCUGGCGGUAGGCCUAACACAUGCAAGUCGAACGGCAGCACAGUAAGAGCUUGCUCUUACGGGUGGCGAGUGGCGGACGGGUGAGGAAUACAUCGGAAUCUACUUUUUCGUGGGGGAUAACGUAGGGAAACUUACGCUAGUACCGCAUACGACCUACGGGUGAAAGCAGGGGAUCUUCGGACCUUGCGCGAUUGAAUGAGCCGAUGUCGGAUUAGCUAGUUGGCGGGGUAAAGGCCCACCAAGGCGACGAUCCGUAGCUGGUCUGAGAGGAUGAUCAGCCACACUGGAACUGAGACACGGUCCAGACUCCUACGGGAGGCAGCAGUGGGGAAUAUUGGACAAUGGGCGCAAGCCUGAUCCAGCCAUACCGCGUGGGUGAAGAAGGCCUUCGGGUUGUAAAGCCCUUUUGUUGGAAAGAAAAGCAGCAGGUUAAUACCCCGCUGUUCUGACGGUACCCAAAGAAUAAGCACCGGCUAACUUCGUG
rnacentral:rRNA from 1 species